rnacentral:rRNA from 1 species
AUAUAGCUGGUUUUCUGCGAAAUCUAUUUUAGUAGAUGAUUUAUAUAUUUUAUUAGAGGGUAUAGCACUGAAUAUCUAUAAUCUAUAAUUAUUCUUUGUAUAAUGAAUAUAAGGAUAUAUAUAUAUAUAUAUGUCUAUGUAUAUGUAUAUUAUUAUGAAUAUAAAUGAGUAAUUUUAAGUUGUUGAGAGGAGUAUGAAAGUACUUACUUUGGAUAUUUAAUCUCAGAAUAUCUAAUAAAAAGAAAUAAGUUGUCAGACUUAUUGCGAUAAGGUGAUAAGUCGAAAGGGGAACAGCCCAGAAUAAUGUAUAAAGUUCCAAAAUUGUUAUUCAGUGAAAUAAAAGAGGUUAUUUUUCAGA